rnacentral:rRNA from 1 species
GGUGGCGACCGGCGGAGGGGUGAGUAACACUUAUGCACCCUACCUUUAACACGGGCAUAACUCGAAGAAAUUCGUGCUAAUUCCCGAAUAACACAGGGGGCACCGCAUGGUGAUAUUUGUUAAAGAUUUUAUCGGUUAAAGAUGGGCAUGCGCUCCAUUAGUUAGUUGGUGAGGUAACGGCUCCCCAAGGCAACGAUGGAUAGGGGGACUGAGAGGUUUAUCCCCCACACUGGUACUGAGACACGGACCAGACUCCUACGGGAGGCAGCAGUGAGGAAUAUUGGUCAAUGAGCGAAAGCUUGAACCAGCCAAGUCGCGUGAAGGAUGAAUGUCCUAAGGAUUGUAAACUUCUUUUAUACAGGAAUAAUAGUUGCCACGUGUGGCGGCCUGCAUGUACUGUAUGAAUAAGGAUCGGCUAACUCCGUGCCAGCAGCCGCGGUAAUACGGAGGAUCCGAGCGUUAUCCGGAUUUAUUGGGUUUAAAGGGUGCGCAGGCGGGAUGUUAAGUCGGCGGUGAAAUUUUGCGGCUCAACCGUAAAAGUGCCUUCGAAACUGGCAUUCUUGAGUAUGGAUGAAGUAGGCGGAAUUUGUGGUGUAGCGGUGAAAUGCUUAGAUAUCACGAGGAACUCCGAUUGCGCAGGCAGCUUACUAAACCAUAACUGACGCUCAUGCACGAAGGCGUGGGGAUCAAACAGGAUUAGAUACCCUGGUAGUCCACACUGUAAACGAUGAAUGCUAGAUGUAGGUGGUAU